rnacentral:rRNA from 1 species
UACGUAGGGUGCAAGCGUUAAUCGGAAUUACUGGGCGUAAAGCGCACGUAGGCGGUUUUUUAAGUCAGAUGUGAAAGCCCCGGGCUCAACCUGGGAAUUGCAUUUGAAACUGGGAAACUAGAGUGUGUGAGAGGGGGGUAGAAUUCCAAGUGUAGCAGUGAAAUGCGUAGAGAUGUGGAGGAAUACCGAUGGCGAAGGCAGCCCCCUGGGAUAACACUGACGCUCAUGCACGAAAGCGUGGGGAGCAAACAGG